UUUUAUGACCCGGGUGGUAGUUUGGCAAAGCUUUCACAGGAGUUUUGGGCAUUUCCAGGGGUAGUUUUAUGACCCGGGUGGUAGUUUGGCAAAGCUUUCACAGGAGUUUUGGGCAUUUCCAGGGGUAGUUUUAUGACCCGGGUGGUAGUUUGGCAAAGCUUUCAUAGGAGUUUUGGGCAUUUCAGGGGGUAGUUUUAUGACCCGGGUGGUAGUUUGUCUGUGCGUCUUUGCUAGUGAGACACAUUCAGCUUGAGCCUCCAGUCAAUCCCUCUGCGCCAACAUUAUAACUGGUGACUGAUUGAUUGAUGUAUUGGGGUAACCUGUGAUUUAUUUAUUAGAGUACGUAGUUAUGAUGGCUUUAUUUGUAACUGUCUGACGGUCUCUGUUAGUAAAUUGCAUGCGGCCUAACCCUCCAGUCCCUCUGUGGUAACUUUAUGGUGACUGUAUUUGUAACUGUGCGAGUGUCGUUACAAGUGAGGAACAUGCUGGUUAGUAAAUUGCAUGCAGCCUGACCCUCCAGUCCCCCUGUGGUAACUUUAUGGUGACUGUAUUUGUAACUGUGUGAAUGUCUUUACUAGUGAGGAACAUGCAGGUUAGUAAAUUGCAUGCAGCCUGACCCUCCAGUCCCCCUGUGGUAACUUUAUGGUGACUGUAUUUGUAACUGUGUGACUGUCUUUAUUAGUGAGGAACAUGCUGGUAUUCUCUCAUUUUCUCUCUCCUCUCUCAUCGCUUUCACGGAUGUUUUCUCUUUCUCAGCGUCUCAGGUGCUUGUGGGACAUUCAACAGGCAGCUUAUAGUGUCUGUGCUCCUUCCUCUCUACCUGUUUCAUCUUUAACAAUAAUAAUAAUAGUAGCUGGCUUUAUUUUUUUUUAUCAUUGCUUUCAUUGACAUUUUCUCUUUCUCAGCUUCUCAGGUGCUUGUGGGAUGUUCAACAGGCAGCUUGUAGUGUCUGCGUUCCUUCCUCUCUACCUGUUUCAUCUUUUACAAUAAUAACAAUAAUACCGGGCUUUAUUUUUUUCAUUAUUUUCCUUUUUUUUUGGCCCUUGAAGUGUCUCCUUUGCUGUAAAAAAAAAAAAGAAAGAA